AAAAGAACAUAAGAUGGCAUGAUCAAACUGCUUUUUUCCAAGAUGCAAAUUUGCAUCCUCACAUGAGUGGUUAUGGUGCUGAUGAGUGUUCUGUUGCCCAUGCAUCAGCAGAGUUAUGGGGUUAGGACAUUUGAGUGAAAAUCUGUUUGUAGCUAAUUCCUGUAGAUCAUAAGUACUAUGGAUACUACUGUUCUCAGCCAUCUGCUUUUACAGUGACUUUCUCACAUACCUCUACUUUUCUACAUUAUUGUUUGGAUAAAUACUCAAGUGUGAUGAUAUGAUUUGGAGAAAAGGUGACCCUUCCAUAAGAAGAUAGUGCAAUUGCAAGCAUGCAUAUGUUUCACCCCUUUCCUUGGCUGGUUGGAUGCCAAACCACCAAGAUGUCAGAACUGAGUAUCUGUAGUAUAAAUGGAUGCCUUGUCUCCACUGUUUUUAGUUGUAUUUAUUGUUGCCAUAUGAGAAAGUUCUUGGGUCAUUGCAGGUAUUUAGUCCCUUGCUUCCUUUUGGCUUUGAGUGCAGAUAAGUGUCUUAUUUGAGGGGAACUUAUUUUACAUCAUGUGUUGCUUGUUUGUAGAUUAGAAGUCUUUGGGGCAUCAGAUGUGUCACUUUCUAAAGUUAACUACAUUAUUUUUAAGAGAGAGAUCCAGUGGAAAGACUAAUUUGCGUUUGUUCUCUUUAGCAACAGAGCAUGAUGUCACCUCUUGUUCUUAUGUAAUAGUUCAGUUGUACCAAAGUGGUGCCUUCCUAACUCUUGGCUGGUACAUUCCUCGCAUACAGAGCAGUGAAGCACUUCAGUGCAGACUGGACUUUCUGAUGAAGAAAAAAAUCUCCAUUUAAACUAUACCUUACAUCUUGUUACCUUUUUAGUUGCAGCAAGCAGCAGCUACAGUUUAUGCCACACACAGAGCUUUAAAGAACUUUAAUUCAGACUGUAGAUGCAAUACCAGUAGUUAAGUGCCUGAAAGGCACUGUAGAUUGAUUUACAUUUACCAGUCACACCCCAUAAUAAUUUGCACCUGGAGAGCUACUGCAGUUGAUUAAAAGAACAUCAAGUGGGGAGCUAAAUCUCUCCAUGGUUAUCUGACACUAAAAAGGCUGCAUACCUUGCCCAAAAAUGCAAGGCGAAAUGCCCAGAGAGAAGGAAUCCUGGGAGGUCAGUUACAUACUCGCUAAGAGCAGAAACAGCCUUAACUCAAGGGUAUCUGGUCUGGUGGUGUUCUUUUAUGGCCUCUGACUCCUAAUUGGAAUUGGACCUCGGGUGAUACCCAUCAGGAGACCCACCUUGCUUUCAGAUGAUGGCUCUUCCUCUCGAGCUGAAGACCUACAUCAGUAUGUCUGGCUACUUCCUCUUUGGCAUAUGUUACCAGUGCACACACGUUUUGAAAACUGGGGGUGGGGGUUGUAUUCCCUUUUUUUCUUCUGGCAAACAAGGACUUCUGGCUCAAAAAAUAGUCAGUGCCUGCCCAUAACCAGAAACUACCACUGCAGCAAUCACUCCCAAAAGCAGAGCUUAGGCAUCCUGCCCUUGAAUAUUUACCCGAUUACGAUAACCAUUGCUGGCCAGGCCCUUCUCACACCUCACUACCAUCCAGGCCCCUUUUCAAGAACCUGCAGCACCCACCAUAGUAAUCAGUAUCGGGUAUCCCCAUUUUGAAUAAAGGAUCGCUCUGAGGAAUCCAACUCUUCUGAUUCUGAAGUGGAUGAAUUGGCCUGUAUGGACCUCUUUUUUUUAGGAAUCAGGUGUUUAGCUCACUGUAUCUUUGCCUUCUCACCAUAAAAUUUCUCAUUUGAACAUGAUGAUUGAUUUCUUCAUUUGGGAGUGUGAAGACUGUAAGGAUGCCCAGAAAUGGUGUAGAGAACUUCUUCGCUUACCAGAGCCAAAACCUAUAACUUUUUCUGCAGUGACUGAAUCUUUAGAGGAUGUAUUCACUAGUGCUUCUUUGGAGCCAUCCUCCUUAAUCCCCUACACUAAGCAAGCCCAACUGUUUUGACAGGGGUGUAUGUACCUGUAAGUAUCUAUACUACAUCCUAAUUGCUUAUUCAAUUACUGUGACAGUGCAUUCCAGAAAAGUAUCUACUUUGCUCUAACCAAGAAUAAUUCUCAGAGUAAGACUUUGGGAACAAACCCUGGUCUUCAGGAGUGUGACUUGUCAAACAAAAUGCUAACAUUUUUAGGGACUCUUCUGGCCCAAAUAGUGCUGUGGAGAUGGAUAGAAUCCUGAGAAAUAAAUGUUCUAGAACUAAGUACCCCCACCUCCCAUGUUGUCAAACACUAAGAAGUGUAGCUGUGAUGCAGUGAAUACAUUGUGCAGUGCUGGGGAGAUUGGUUAUUAGACAUACCUGACUGAGGACCUAACCCUUGUCAGAUCAUAUGAAAAAUCAGCUCUCAGAACCUCAUUAGAAAAGGAGCUACUGUUUGGAUCCACUGUGGAACAAGUGUUUUUUAAAAUAAAAUUGGAGGUAAAGGUGAAGGCAGUGCAGCCUAAUGCAUAGGUUCAUAGGUAAUUACUAGGCAUGGGUCUAGGGGUUCUUAUAAUGGCCCAGAAUAUUGUGGUUAAAUGAUUUGCUCCGAGUUGCAUAGCAGGCAAGUGGAGACCGAAGGACUCAAUCUUUGGACUGCAGGGAGCUGCUUAUUAACAGCUUAUAUCCCUAAUCCUCUGUCAGUUCAUGAGGAAGUGGCAAGCCAACCAAAAGGAGAAACUGGGAGCCCUUCAGGGCUAGGUGCCACAAGGGAACGUCGAAGUCUUAGUUUAGCUCUUCCCUCCUGCUAAAUCCCUCCCCAAACUUACCUCUUCCUCCCAUUCUUCCCUAAAAAUAGGGGGUCAUUUGGGACGAUUUGUUAAAUGCUGGUGGUGGAUGGUGCUCAAGGCACAUGGGUUCUAAGAAUCUUUGCGCAAGAGUACAGGUUUUGCGUUACAAAAAUACCAAGAUUCUCUUGUAUCCUGCAAAUACCCAGAGAACAAAGAUGUCUAAUCAAACCCACACUGCAGGACCUUCUGUGCCAGAGGGCUGUAGAUAGAAUGCCAGAGCAGGAGUAAGGCUCAGGGUUGUGCUUGGAUUUCCUAGUUCAAACAAAACAAAUGUUCCUUAGAGGUCUGUGUUGGACUUAUCAAGGCUAAACAAAUUUCUACAACUGCUAAAAGUUCAGAAUACUAACCCUGUCUCUUUCUUCUUAAAUGAGACUGUCAUAGUUAUCUCAGACCUGAAAGAUGGCUGCUUCCCUGUUCCACUAGCUAGAACAGACACAGUACUAGGAAACAGGAAGUACUUACUGCCAGUUUACUUCAUUGCCCUUCUUAGUUAAUCUUCUGUACCAAUGGUGUUUUACAAAAUACACCUUUCCAGUGAUGUAGAGGGAUAAAGGCCUGACUAACCACCCAGCCAACCUAGUUUGAUUAGCUUGGGUAACUGAUGGAGUGGCAGGGAAGGAUGGGUAUUGCCAUCCCAGGGAGGGAGGGUGGUCCUGUGGGCAUCUCGUGAUAGUCCCUGUUGGAGGUUUGGUAUGUUGUGAUUUGGAGGUGUGAUUCAAAGGGGGGAAGGUGGACAUAUGGCAGUGGUGCUGCAGAGGUAGGCUAAUAUGCUGUAUGUCUCCAUUGGGUGCCCGAGCUGGGACACAACCAUUGGGAUCUGCAAUGGAGGGUGAAAGGGAGAAACAGGCAUAGGUCAAAAAAAUAAAAAAAAAUAAAAGUUUGGAGGGCAGCAGUGACCCCCCCCCCCCCGGAUGUCCUAAAGAUCCUUGCUUGUCCUGUCUUAAAUUUGGUCAUUGGAAUGUGGGCUGAUUGGAGUGCGGGUAGAACUAGAAGUGUAUACUGAUACUAGGUCAGCUGCCAGAACUGAGAUCUAUCCCUACCUGGACUGUCUGAUUCAGGCCUUAGCCUGAGAGGAGACUGUGGCACUUCUGCAAUUUAUCCUGGCCUACUUCCAGAGCCCUCGACUCUGGCUGACCCUGUCCAAAUCAGAACUAAUACUGUAUAAACAAGUCCAGGUCCUAGGAGCUGUUUAGGACACAACAAACCAAAAACAUUCCUUCCCACCACAUAUUUCACUUCCAUAAUAUGACAAAAUGAGAUGACUGCCAGAGAGCUCAAGUACUGGAGGUGUGUAGUAUCUUUUAUCUUGGUGAACAUAUGCCAUGCUCCAAAUAAGAAAUUCAGAAGGGUACCUAGUACAAAACCAAACCCUCUGUCUCACUCAGCAAGGCUUCAGGCCUGGACACAGUACUAUCACAACUCUCAUUUCCUUCAUGGACACAGUAAACCAGGCCUAUGACACUGACAACAUUGUCUCCACACUCGACCACUGUAAAUUCUUUGAUACUGUAUCCCAUUCACUUCUUCACACCAAACUCUCCAACUUGGUUAUUUCACCCUCUCCACCCCAUGUUAACCUGGUUUUCUAGCUCUGUCUCCAAAGGGCAGCAGUCUAGCAAGUGGCAACAUUCUUUCUCACCUUUUCUAAACACAACCACAGGCAUUCCAUACUGGGCCCCUUGUUGUUUAACAUAUUCAUCAGCAGCUGUCAUUUACUCAAAGCACCAUCAUCCAAUAUGCAGAUGAUUCUACCAUCAUCUGCACCACCAAAUCCAUAUCCAAACUUUAAAAACUUACCCGAGAUGCCUACACUUCCAUCAAAACUUGGAUGUCCAAUCACCUCGCUCUAAACCCUAGUAAAACUAAACUCCUUAUAUUCACCCCAAAAAACUACCUCCUUAACUAAAAUGAUUUCAGUAUCCAGGCCAAAAUCAACACCAUUAUAGAAGUUGUACCAAGUACUAAACUGUUAGGUGUUAUAAUAGAAAACCUUACAUUUGACCUCCAUAUACACAGCAGCAUCAAAAAUAGGCAUGCUCUACAGACACAAAUAUUUCCUUGGCCAUAAAGUAAAACUGUCACUCACCACAUCCUUCCUGGUACCAUCUCUGUUGUACGGUGCUUCUGUCCUUACCAAUAUCCAGUCCUUUCUUAAUUCCAGACUUGACACAUGCUACAGUGAAAUUGCUAAAUUCAUAACAAAUGCUAAAUUCUCAGACUACCACUGUACAUAACUGCAACAACUUAGCUAGCUCGAAUUCCCACACCUUCUCACAAAUUUACAAUUAACCACUGCACAUAGACUUGUACACAGACCUUCAGACUGCCCUUCUCUUUCAUCUGUACUGACUUUGUACCAUCCUAACAGAGCUCUCAGAUCAGAAAACAAGCUAUAGCUCAAAGUUAUAAAGCCAAACCUUGCACUUGGACAAAUGCUCUCUUCUUUUACUGUCUCCAAGCUAUGGGACUCUUCCAUCACCAGUCAGAACCACCAGUAAUCCUGUCUGGUUUAAGAAGUUCCUUAAACAACUUGCUUCUCUCUAGCACUGCUCACAUGCUAAAUCUGCACUCCCUAAAACCUGAUUCCCUCCAUUUUAAUUCCAUAACCUACCAAACGCUUGACCUUCCUCCUAAAUCUAUUAACCUACUCAUAUUAAAACCUCUCAGUUCAAUAAAUUAAUUUUCUACUUAAAGGAACUUGCUUGCUCCCUACUCCAAAAACCCUUGCACACUAUCUAUUUUGAAUACUUGAAUACAGGGCAGUGAUCAUAUUGCUGUAUCUGUACUACAACUGUAACCAACCCAUUUCUUAUGAACUGUACGUUUUAGUGUGCCAAUCUUAGACUAGUGUUUAACACUGCAUACCCUUCAUUGUUUGUAAAUACUGUAAAUGUAAAUCAGUUGUGUUAGCUGUAAGUAGUAUUUACAUUACGUGUAAACUCUUGCAUUCUUUUUGUUAAUGUCAUGUGAUUCAUAUUAUGUUUGUUGUUUAACCUUGUGGAGCUUUUGUCCCUGGGCUUUCACUGAAAAUGGGCUCACCUAGUCCAGUGGAUUUUCCCGGUAAACAAAUGCAAACAAACACCUGAAAAACAGUGCAUGCAUGCCCACUCAUAAACAUGUUUUUUUUUCCACUUAAAGAGCUGGGGGGGGGUUGAGUGCAUACUGCAAGAAGUUUUGCAAAAGUCCUUUAUUUUUUUCACUCUGCCUUUCUCCCUGUCCUUCUCAACGUAAUACAGAAUGUAAAGGAGGACAGGCCAGAAGACAUGCCAGAAAUGCUCCUCAUGGCUGUUUUGGCUGAAACAGUAGUAACCCUCCUUAUCACGAAGUGUGGUAUGGACAGAGACUGUUCUGCUGCCUCAAUAUCUGGAACUCUAGACCCACUACAAGGGGUAACUCAUAGGCUUCAAUCUGAAGACUCAUAAGGCUGAUAGCUUGGAUGGCGUAGUUGUCAUUACCUUUAGACAAAUGUUUUCUCCGAAUGGGCUGUCUUAAGGGAGGCUAUGAAGUCAAGUACAAGGAAGCCAUACCUAACAAAAUGAAGUUUCUUUGUUUUGUGCCAAAGAGGUGGCUAAUAAUCAAAUAGCUUUAGAGCGUUACAAAUCAAUAUGGACUUAAGUGAGGGUACAUGCGUCUCCAAUAUCAGCUUACUUAUCAUGGAAUCCCACACGUUAUUCCUUCUAUAUUUGUAAAGCAAUUUCCCAAGGGAGUAUUGAAUCUGCAGCCUCACAGUAAAGUAAUGUCUCAGUCAUGGACUUCAACCGUGUGCUAGGCAUGUUAAUGUUGCAACUCUGAGCCAGUAGCUGCUACAUCCGUCAAACUUUGACUUGGAAGAGAUUGCCUUUGUAGUGGCCAUCUCGGAACUGCAAGCUCUAAUUUGCAAACAACCCUUCCGUAUCUUCCGCAAAGACACAGCAACUCCCACACCAGAUGGGAUGGUGUUGAUCUUCAGAUCUUCUGCAGUAGAAUUGCCAAGUAUUGUCACUACUGCAACAGUAAACUCUCUAACAUGUACAAUUAUGAUAAUUUGAUAACACAAUAAUAUCUUUAAGGCGAGAUCAUUGUAACAGUAAAGCUUCUCCCCAUCUUUCCAUCUAAGAAGAUGCAUGUUUUUUUAUAGCAUGUCAUCAUAAUACUUGAAGUGGUUACUCAAGGUGUGAUAAUGUUUUGCUUUUCCAUGGCCAAUACUUUACUACUCUGCUAAACCCUUUGCAGGAAUGACUAGAGAAUUUUCCUAGCAAUGCAGCAUGUAUUUCAUUGUCUUGUACACUGUUAAGAAUCCAUAGAACAUUAGUGCGAGCCACUUCUGCUCUUGGGGUAGAGGUGUGCUGCUGGCUAUAAAGCAGGCUGAGUUAAAGUUAGGAAGGUAAGAGCAGUUACCCAACUGUUAAGAUGUACUGUUAGCAGUAGAACUUCAAGGCAGUGUCAACUGUAAGUAUUCUUGCUCGUGACUGCACUUUAUUCCUGCUGUCCUGGUAAGUUAGUGCUAACAUUUUAAUUUUUUGUGGAAGUGCAUUGGUAUUAUCAAAGGCUGUAUUAUUUUACUACCAAAGCGUGCCAAAAGCUGCAUCACUUUGAAUGAUGGUGUGGGAAUAGACAAGAGGACAUAUGCCUCUUUUUAUUAACUAAAACCUAGUAGCCUAGUCUUAUGGAUACCCUGCACUGUCGCUCUGUUUUGCAUGUUCUAUUGGACUAGAAUUGAUAGGCAGAUACCUGCACACUGUAAACAUGGGUAGAUGAAAUUGAGAAGGCAUUAUGCCCAAUGACCAUUUAGGUCAAACCAAACCUAUGGUACUAAUUGAACAAGGAUAUUAAAACACCAUUUGUCAAAUGCACUGAGUAGGGUGUGUAUCUCACCAUACAGAGAAUUAGUAGUGCUACUGAACAUGGUUAGUUUAUUAAAUGAAAACCAGGAAUCACACUUCAUCAUGCCUAUGUAGAAUGGUACUAGUGUAUUGUAUGAAUUCCUAUGUGUUAGUGUGGGGGAUAUUAAUGCUUUUCUGUUUCAUCAAGGCCAUGUUUGAUGAACAGGAACUUUUUUUUUUUCUUUUGUCAGACUUUGUGUUCAAGGGGCUGUUUUGCUUCUUGGUGUCAUCAGCUUACAUGUAGAUUUUGUGUACAGGUUUUCAUACUUUUGAUUAAAAUAUAAUGGCCUGUUUGGCACUAUAAUCUGUUGACUUGAACUUGAGCAUAAAAGUAUAGCUUCAGAGUGACGUGCUCAUUCAUCAUUUGGAGAAAAGGUGAUGUAUUGCAAUGACUCAUUUUUGCAGAGUGUACUAACAAUAUUGAGUGUGCUGGAUAUUGAUGUCUUGUACUAACAAGCCUGGCUUUACCACUCCACUGUCUAAUGUUUUUGCUCUCUUUUUCUUUCCUUUUUCUAACCUGCUUGCGGACUGUGCAGACCGUCUCUACCAGCAACUUGAGCAAAAUUCUCGCCUUUCUAAGGAAUUAAAACUGACUUUGAAUGAGGAUUAGUUCUUUACAUUAGAGCAAAUUACCAGCACUAAAGAGGAAAAUGUCAGCAUGCGUCAAACACUGGAUCAGACUCUGUUGGAGAUAAACUGCUUGUGAAAAAUAUCUUAUCUGGUUGUAGCCUCCUCAAACUCCAUUUGCCAUGAGAAUCCCCUAAGCAGUAAGGCUUAUACUUACAAAAAGAUGUCUCAACAUGGAAUUCUACUAGAAGUACUUGCCACAGGAAUGGGAACGGUUCAGCAGUGGCAGUCCAAAGACGAACCAUUUGUGUGUGCCAUUUUCCAAUACAGAGUCACGUGUUUACUUCUGACGUGGUUUUCUGCGGUUUGUGCGCGCACAUAUUUGCACAGUUUUUGACUCAGGAUUUUAAAUUCUCAUGUUCAUUACAUUCAAGAAUUGAGUUUGUGACUGUAAGGUAUACUCAUUUUUAGGGUGACAUUGCCUUGUAUCUUUGCCUAAAUACUCUUUUGGUAGCAGAUGGUUAUUGUGCACAAAUGUGUUUUAUGUAAAGUUCAGAAUUCUUACUUUGUGCCAAAACAUUUCCCUCAGUAAGGUUCAUUGUUCUUUUCAGAAGAUUUCCUAAGUGAGGUACAUUGAAUCCCUGGGAAUCCUUGGGAUUCUGUAGGCCAGAAUUAAGCAUUAUUUUUCAUUUAUUGUGUAAGGGAAAGUGUAAUAAAAUCCAUUUGCUUGAAAGGUUUGGGAUAUAAACAGUAAGUGUACUUUUUUCCAGAUUAAUGGAAACUCGAAAUUGAUGCUUUAAUGUGCUUUCUUUGACAGACAUAAUGUGUACUUGAUUUUAAACCUUUGUUUAUUAUUAAUAAAUAUAAAAUAAUG